AGUUCUGUCACGAUUGUGGCACAGUUAAUAAAGUCCAUUAACUCCUGGAAAUAAUGUAUUCUGACUUUUUCCAGUGUAUCAAAUCCAUCUGUGUGUCCAGGCAGUCUGUAAAAACAGUGUCAUUGAGCCAAGCUUCUCUCCCCUGCACACCACUUACUC